UACAGAGGUCUCAAGCGUUGUUCGGAUUCAUUGGGCGUAAAGGGUGCGUAGGUGGCGCGGUAAGUCGGGUGUGAAAUUUCGGAGCUUAACUACGAAACUGCAUUCGAUACUGCCGUGCUUGAGGACUGGAGAGGAGACUGGAAUUUACGGUGUAGCAGUGAAAUGCGUAGAGAUCGUAAGGAAGACCAGUGGCGAAGGCGGGUCUCUGGACAGUUCCUGACACUGAGGCACGAAGGCCAGGGGAGCAAACGGG
rnacentral:rRNA from 1 species